rnacentral:misc_RNA from 1 species
ACUACGAGGGUAUCUAAUCUCUGUUUGCUCCCCACGCUUUCGUGCAUGAGCGUCAGUGUUAUCCCAGGAGGCUGCCUUCGCCAUCGGUGUUCCUCCGCAUAUCUACGCAUUUCACUGCUACACGCGAAUUCCACCUCCCUCUGACACACUCUAGCUCGGUAGUUAAAAAUGCAGUUCCAAAGUUAAGCUCUGGAUUCCACAUCUUUCUUUCCGAACCGCCUGCGCUACGCCCAGUAAUUCCGAUUAACGCUUGCACCUACGUAUACCGCGGCUGCUGGCACGUAGUUAGCCGUACUUAUUCUGCAGGUACCGUCAGUUGCACGGGGUAUUAUCCGUUUCUUUCCUGCCAAAAGUGCUUUACAACCCGAAGGCCUUCAUCGCACACGCGGGAUGGCUGGAUCGGGGUUUCCCCCAUUGUCAAAAUUCCCCACUGCUGCGCCCCGUAA